CAUAAAUCAACAAGAUGAACCACAAUAAUGUUUCUCUUUGAUGAUAAUGAUGAGGUGAUUGAGUUAUUUUACAUAUUCUUGACAAAUAUCAUUUGGCAUCAUGAAAAUUAAAUGAAUAAAGAGCCAAAAAGAAUAUAUUCGGAUAAAGGUAUGAGGUAUAUUUUCACAGUGCUUAAUGGACACCAUGAAAGGUGCCAAGAUGGUUUUAGGAUGGAUCCUUACAUGUUCAUUAACUUGUGUAAAAUUUUAAGGGAGAAUGAGUUAUUGAAAGAUUCUAGGUUUGUAUCAGUGGAGGAGCAUAUGGGAAUUUUUUUGUUGAUAAUGUGCUAUCGAUUAUCCAAUAGGAUGGUAGCUGAUUUUUGGCAGCACUCUAGUGAGACAAUUUACCAUCAUUUCAAGGAUGUGUUGAAUGCAAUUGUCAAACUGGCACGCGAUCUUAUAACACCCCUACUACAUUUAACACUCCUUCGGAGAUUGCUACCAAUCCUAAGUUGUAUCCAUUCUUCAAAGUAAGACAAUAUGCACAUUUAAUAUCAUGAUUAUUAAGACUCAUACCAUAUCACUGAUAUUCGAGUUAAUUGUUCUCUAUCAUUUUUUAGGAUUGUAUUAGUGCCAUAGAUGGGACACAUAUUCAUGCAAGUGUGUAAGCAAACCAACAAAUCCCGUAUCGUGGUAGGAAGCAAACUACCACACAAAAUGUAUGAUAUGCGCUUUACAUUUGUGUAUGCGGAAUGGGAAGGCUCCACUAAUGAUUCAUGUGUUCUUUUGGAAACACUAACUACAACUAGUGUCGAUUUUCCUCUCGCACCACAAGUAUGGAAGUCAAGAAUCAACACCCAAUUUGUGCUUGUGGACGUGGCUGGAUGCAUCUAUUUAUGACAAAAAUGAAAAGAAAUUAUGGACGGUGGUUCUAUCGAUGCCCUACUAGAAUAGCAAACAGAAAUGACUUCAUUUGGGUAGACCAAUUCAUGCCCCGUGAUGGUGGAAGACAUGUUGAAGUGCAAAAAGAACCAAGCAAAGAAUGACAUGUAUUGUUGCAUCAUGGCAUGUGUUGUUGCCAUGCCAUGAUGGCAUGUUGUUACCAUUACUACUUGCGGGUGCUGUUGUAUCAUGGCAUGUUGGGUUUUUGUUUUAUUACUUAUAUGUUUUGUUUUGAUCCUCAAGUAAUUAAGGAUUAGGUGGUGAUAAUAUAAAGACAUCGUUAUGACAAUGGCAUGUGUUUUUUAUGGUUAAAGUUUUAGGUUUAAUGUGGAUAGGUUUGCAAAACUGAUGUUAAGAAAUAGUUUCAUUAUCCAAAUGAUAUUUUUGUUCCU